rnacentral:rRNA from 1 species
CCUACGGGUGGCAGCAGUGGGGAAUAUUGCACAAUGGGCGCAAGCCUGAUGCAGCCAUGCCGCGUGUGUGAAGAAGGCCUUCGGGUUGUAAAGCACUUUCAGCGGGGAGGAAGGCGGUGAGGUUAAUAACCUCAUCGAUUGACGUUACCCGCAGAAGAAGCACCGGCUAACUCCGUGCCAGCAGCCGCGGUAAUACGGAGGGUGCAAGCGUUAAUCGGAAUUACUGGGCGUAAAGCGCACGCAGGCGGUCUGUCAAGUCGGAUGUGAAAUCCCCGGGCUCAACCUGGGAACUGCAUUCGAAACUGGCAGGCUAGAGUCUUGUAGAGGGGGGUAGAAUUCCAGGUGUAGCGGUGAAAUGCGUAGAGAUCUGGAGGAAUACCGGUGGCGAAGGCGGCCCCCUGGACAAAGACUGACGCUCAGGUGCGAAAGCGUGGCGAGCAAACAGGAUUAGAUACCCGUGUAGUC